rnacentral:piRNA from 1 species
ACAUCCAGUGGCCCAGAGGGUGUCUA